rnacentral:rRNA from 1 species
CCUACGGGCGGCAGCAGUGGGAAAUAUUGGACAAUGGGCGAAAGCCUGAUCCAGCCAUGCCGCGUGUGUGAAGAAGGCCUUCGGGUUGUAAAGCACUUUCAGUGGGGAAGAAAGCCUUGGGGCUAAUACCCUCGAGGAAGGACAUCACCCACAGAAGAAGCACCGGCUAACUCCGUGCCAGCAGCCGCGGUAAUACGGAGGGUGCGAGCGUUAAUCGGAAUUACUGGGCGUAAAGCGCGCGUAGGCGGUCUGAUAAGCCGGUUGUGAAAGCCCCGGGCUCAACCUGGGAACGGCAUCCGGAACUGUCAGGCUAGAGUGCAGGAGAGGAAGGUAGAAUUCCCGGUGUAGCGGUGAAAUGCGUAGAGAUCGGGAGGAAUACCAGUGGCGAAGGCGGCCUUCUGGACUGACACUGACGCUGAGGUGCGAAAGCGUGGGUAGCAAACAGGAUUAGAUACCCCAGUAGUC